AUCACUCAGAGGUUAAGCAACAUCAAGUGUGAUGAUAAAAACAACCAACUAGCAUGUUGACACAUUAAGAGGAGCUUGCAGUAUGAAGAAGGCACCAAAGAGCCGAUCAGCUCCAAGAAACUGUUCAAAGACUUGAAGAGAAGGUAUCCAAUCUGGAGUCAGAGAAUCAAGUACUUCGUCUACAGGCACCUUCCAUUUCACCAACUGGCAGGGCAUUGGCUGCACGUCCAAAAACAACUAUCUUGCAGAGAACUCCGGAGAAGGGGAAUAUUCCAAAUGGUGAAGCUAAACUUGCAUUGG